GGGGGUGACUUGGUUUCGACGUGGGUUACAAAACUUGCGGGGCAUGUCGAGGUGCAGCUACCUCGCAAAACCAACUGCAAAACAAAAGAUAGUCGCCAACGACGACGUCUACGCUCUGGCAGCUUAAAUAGCCAGUCUCUGACUGAGUACGUGCUUGUGCGCUUAGCGUCGGUGCUUUUUGACCGGCUUUCAGAGAUCGACUCUCACAAGAUCGCGGGUAGAUACGUCUGGGAUUGAUUCCGCUAAACUUUACCAGAAUCACGGUUAGAUUAUCCUGCCCAUCGGAUAACUAGUCGUUAAAUUUAAAGAUAGGGCUAAGCAUGUAGAACCAAAGGCGGCGGACUUGCGGACGCGAGUUCAAUACUCGCCACCUCCACCA
rnacentral:tmRNA from 1 species